rnacentral:rRNA from 1 species
UACGGAGGGGACUAGCGUUGUUCGGAAUUACUGGGCGUAAAGCGCACGUAGGCGGCUUCGUAAGUCAGGGGUGAAAUCCCGAGGCUCAACCUCGGAACUGCCUUUGAUACUGCGAAUCUCGAGUCCGGAAGAGGUGAGUGGAAUUCCUAGUGUAGAGGUGAAAUUCGUAGAUAUUAGGAAGAACACCAGUGGCGAAGGCGGCUCACUGGUCCGGUACUGACGCUGAGGUGCGAAAGCGUGUGGAGCAAACAGG